rnacentral:rRNA from 1 species
UACGGGGGGGGCAAGCGUUGUUCGGAAUUACUGGGCGUAAAGGGCUCGUAGGCGGCCAACUAAGUCAGACGUGAAAUCCCUCGGCUUAACCGGGGAACUGCGUCUGAUACUGGUUGGCUUGAAUCCGGGAGAGGGAUGUGGAAUUCCAGGUGUAGCGGUGAAAUGACGUAGAUAUCUGGAGGAACACCGGUGGCGAAGGCGACAUCCUGGACCGGUAUUGACGCUGAGGAGCGAAAGCCAGGGGAGCAAAGCGGG